CUUCGGCUCAACCGAAGAAGUGCAUCGGAAACUGGGAAACUUGAGUGCAGAAGAGGACAGUGGAACUCCAUGUGUAGCGGUGAAAUGCGUAGAUAUAUGGAAGAACACCAGUGGCGAAGGCGGCUGUCUGGUCUGUAACUGACGCUGAGGCUCGAAAGUAUGGGUAGCAAACAGGAUUAGAUACCCUGGUAGUCCAUACCGUAAACGAUGAAUGCUAAGUGUUGGAGGGUUUCCGCCCUUCAGUGCUGCAGCUAACGCAUUAAGCAUUCCGCCUGGGGAGUACGGCCGCAAGGCUGAAACUCAAAGGAAUUGACGGGGGCCCGCACAAGCGGUGGAGCAUGUGGUUUAAUUCGAAGCUACGCGAAGAACCUUACCAGGUCUUGACAUACUAUGCAAAUCUAAGAGAUUAGACGUUCCCUUCGGGGACAUGGAUACAGGUGGUGCAUGGUUGUCGUCAGCUCGUGUCGUGAGAUGUUGGGUUAAGUCCCGCAACGAGCGCAACCCUUAUUAUCAGUUGCCAGCAUUAAGUUGGGCACUCUGGUGAGACUGCCGGUGACAAACCGGAGGAAGGUGGGGAUGACGUCAAAUCAUCAUGCCCCUUAUGACCUGGGCUACACACGUGCUACAAUGGAUGGUACAACGAGUUGCGAACUCGCGAGAGUAAGCUAAUCUCUUAAAGCCAUUCUCAGUUCGGAUUGUAGGCUGCAACUCGCCUACAUGAAGUCGGAAUCGCUAGUAAUCGCGGAUCAGCAUGCCGCGGUGAAUACGUUCCCGGGCCUUGUACACACCGCCCGUCACACCAUGAGAGUUUGUAACACCCAAAGUCGGUGGGGUAACCUUUUAGGAACCAGCCGCCUAAGGUGGGACAGAUGAUUAGGGUGAAGUCGUAACAAGGUAGCCGUAGGAGAACCUGCGGCUG
rnacentral:rRNA from 1 species